rnacentral:rRNA from 1 species
UCGUGCGAGAAAGGGCUUCGGCCCCGGUACAGCGGCGCACGGGUGAGUAACACGUAGGUAAUCAACCUCUGGGUGGUGGAUAACCUUCCGAAAGGAGGGCUAAUACAGCAUGAGACCACGGUCCCGAAAGGGAUUGAGGUCAAAGUCGGCCUCUUCAUGAAAGCUGGCGCCUAGAGACGAGCCUGCGGCCCAUCAGCUAGUUGGUAGGGUAAUGGCCUACCAAGGCGAAGACGGGUAGCUGGUCUGAGAGGAUGAUCAGCCACACUGGAACUGAGACACGGUCCAGACUCCUACGGGAGGCAGCAGUGGGGAAUCUUGCGCAAUGGGCGAAAGCCUGACGCAGCGACGCCGCGUGAGUGAUGAAGGCCUUCGGGUUGUAAAGCUCUGUGGAGGGGGACGAAUAAGGGUUGGCUAACAUCCAGCCCGAUGACGGUACCCCUUUAGCAAGCACCGGCUAACUCUGUGCCAGCAGCCGCGGUAAGACAGAGGGUGCAAACGUUG